rnacentral:rRNA from 1 species
GACGAACGCUGGCGGCGUGCUUAACACAUGCAAGUCGAACGAUGAAGCCGGAGCUUGCUCUGGUGAAUUAGUGGCGAACGGGUGAGUAACACGUGAGUAACCUGCCCUUGACUCUGGGAUAACUGCUAGAAAUGGUAGCUAAUACCGGAUACGACCCUCGGAGGCAUCUUCAGGGGGUGGAAAGAAUUUCGGUCAAGGAUGGACUCGCGGCCUAUCAGCUAGUUGGUGAGGUAAUGGCUCACCAAGGCGACGACGGGUAGCCGGCCUGAGAGGGUGACCGGCCACACUGGGACUGAGACACGGCCCAGACUCCUACGGGAGGCAGCAGUGGGGAAUAUUGCACAAUGGGCGCAAGCCUGAUGCAGCAACGCCGCGUGAGGGAUGACGGCCUUCGGGUUGUAAACCUCUUUUAGUAGGGAAGAAGCGAAAGUGACGGUGCCUACAGAAGAAGGACCGGCCAACUACGUGCCAGCAGCCGCCGUAA